rnacentral:rRNA from 1 species
GACGAACGCUGGCGGCGUGCCUAAUACAUGCAAGUAGAACGCUGAAGGAGGAGCUUGCUUCUCUGGAUGAGUUGCGAACGGGUGAGUAACACGUAGGUAACCUGCCUGGUAGCGGGGGAUAACUAUUGGAAACGAUAGCUAAUACCGCAUAAGAGUAGAUGUUGCAUGACAUUUGCUUAAAAGGUGCAAUUGCGUCACUACCAGAUGGACCUGCGUUGUAUUAGCUAGUUGGUGGGGUAACGGCUCACCAAGGCGACGAUACAUAGCCGACCUGAGAGGGUGAUCGGCCACACUGGGACUGAGACACGGCCCAGACUCCUACGGGAGGCAGCAGUAGGGAAUCUUCGGCAAUGGACGGAAGUCUGACCGAGCAACGCCGCGUGAGUGAAGAAGGUUUUCGGAUCGUAAAGCUCUGUUGUAAGAGAAGAACGAGUGUGAGAGUGGAAAGUUCACACUGUGACGGUAGCUUACCAGAAAGGGACGGCUAACUACGUG